UGUCAGUACACGCCGCUCUAAGGCAAAACCGCGAAUGGCUCAUUAAAUCAGUUAUGAUUCACAAGAUCUCUAUCCACUUACUUGGAUAACCAUGGUAAUUCUAGAGCUAAUACAUGCCCCAUGACUCCGACCGCAAGGAAGGAGUGCUUUUAUUAGAUGCAAACCAAUCGGGCUUCGGUCCGCCACACGGUGCUGAUUCUGAAUAACUUUGAGCAGAGAGCACGGUCACAGCACCGGCUCCAGUUCUUUCGAGUUUCUGCCUUAUCAUGCUGUGGAUUGUAGGCCAAGCGCCUACUAUGGCUGUUACGGGUGACGGAGAAUCAGGGUUCGAUUCCGGAGAGGGAGCCUGAGAAACAGCUACCACAUCCAAGGAAGGCAGCAGGCACGCAAAUUACCCAAUCCCGGCUCGGGGAGGUAGUGACGAAAAAUAACAAUGCGGGACUCUUCCGAGUCUACGUAAUUGGAAUGAGCACACUUUAAAUCCUAUAGCAACAACCCAUUGGAGGGCAAGUCUGGUGCCAGCAGCCGCGGUAAUUCCAGCUCCAAUAGCAUAUAUUAAAGUUGUUGCGGUUAAAAAGCUCGUAGUUCGAGUUCCGUUCCGGACUGGCCGGGGAGGUCACCGCCCGGUGCCUCCCCGCCAGCCUCCGAACAGGUCUUCGAAGCCCCGCCGGUUCUACGCCGGGGUGCUCUUUACCGAGUGUCCCGCGCGGCCGGCAAGUUUACCUUGAAUAAAUAAGAGUGCUCAAGGCAGGCUACUCUUUAAACCUAUGCCCGAAAGAUAACUGCAUGGAAUAAUGAAAGAUGAUCUCGGUCUCAUUUCUGAUUGGCUCUGGGGACCGAGAUAAUGAUAAAAAGAGACUGUCGGGGGCAUCCGUACUACGACGCGAGAGGUGAAAUUCUAUGACCGUCGUAGGACGAACAACAGCGAAAGCAUUUGCCAAGAAUGUCUUCAUUGAUCAAGAACGAAAGUUAGAGGAUCGAAGGCGAUCAGAUACCGCCCUAGUUCUAACCCUAAACGAUGCUGACUAGCAAUCCGCCGUCGUUAUUCCCAUGACGUGGCGGGCCGCCCCCGGGAAACCUCAAGUCUUUGAGUUCCGGGGGUAGUAUGGUUGCAAAACUGAAACUUAAAGGAAUUGACGGAAGGGCACCACCAGGAGUGGAGCCUGCGGCUUAAUUUGACUCAACACGGGAAACCUCACCAGGCCCAGACACUAGCAGGAUUGACAGAUUAAGAGCUCUUUCUCGAUUUGGUGGGUGGU
rnacentral:rRNA from 1 species